GGCUCGGUAGCUCAGCAGGCUAGAGCGCAAGACUCAUAAUCUUGAGGUCGGGGGAUCGAAACCCCCCCGAGCCACCA
rnacentral:tRNA from 2 species